AGAUGUCAGCAAAUCACCCGAAGUGGUCUGAGAGGCAGCAGCAGACCUCAGAUCAGCCCUGAUAAGCUGUGGAGGUGACGCCUCAGCAGGAACAUGUGACAGAGCCUGAGACAGCACAAAGCUCAGGAAUCUCUGGUUUUAUUUCAUCCUUUCGCCCUCUAAAAGAGUCUUUAAAGUCUUCUUGUCAUCAUUAAAAACUAAAUUCUCCACUUUGGGUGACUUACGGAACGCGAGCGUCCGUCUGCUGGAGGCCAUGUGUGCAG